GGCUUCAAAUAAUGCAUCUCAUAAUCUUGGUCUGCAGUUAUAUCUGAUCAAAUGUGCAUUAUUAUUCUUUAACUUGGUUUAAACUAAUUACUUUGACUUGUUUGGAACAUCGGCUUUGCUAAUUAUGUCUCUAUUUGUUUCUCUGUUAAUCCCGUGGUGACGGUGAUUAACACAAGCUCCAGUCUACAUCCAGAACACCUGAGAAGAGUUGAUGCCAAACACUCAGAAGAGGACCUCAGCUGACACUAACCCUGAAACAACAUACAGAACUACCACCUUUUUCUAUAAGUGUGAUUGCAUCAUACAAUAAUUGCUGUUAAUAGUGUUCAUUGUCUGUUUGAUUACGUCUUAUUUUUCUGUACAUUUCUGCCAUAUGCACAUAAACUAACUUUAUAUGCUUCUCCUAAGUAUUGCUUGCACUCCUUCCAAACUGGUCUUUAUGCUGUUCCACAAACACAUUUGUGAGCUGUAGGGGAUAAGGCAUUUUCAUGCACAGAAUUUAUGCACUUGUAAAGUCUAAAUCUUAACACACAACUCCAACUUCUUUAUUAAGUUUGCAGAUGAUACAACUGUGGUGGUCUCAUUAACAAUCUCUCUCUGAACGUGGAGAAGACGAAGGAGAUUGUUGUUGACUUCAGUAGAGCGCACACUCAGCACGUUCCUCUGACCAUCAACAGUGCGACUGUGGAGAGAGUGAGCAGCACCAAGAUUCUGGGUGUACACAUCACAUCACAGAGGACCUCUGGCUGAGAAGAUGAAACUCCGUGGUGGUGAGGAAUCCGGAUGAUGGCGGUGAGAAGGUGAGGAUUCUGGAUGACGGGGAGGAGGCAGCAGGAGAGGAUGGCACAAAAACUGCAGGGAAUAGAGCCGAAGCACUUGGAUGCACAUUUGUCUUGUUUUAUUUGGAUCUGAUUGGUCUGUGACACUGAUAAUCAGCAUACGGAUCUUCCCUUCCAGCCCUUCCCUGCUCAAGAGAAGCCCUUCCCUGCUUCAGAUCAGUGUCCUUAUGACCACAAUGUCCCCAACUGAUGAUGUCACAAUGGGCCGAAGCCCACAGAGCAUACAUUGUUUCUUCGGUUUCCGGUACAUUUUAUGCGGGUUUGAGGUUGAUGCAAUGUUUUGGACCUUUGAGCUGAUUUCAUAGAUUAUAGUUUCCUUUCGCUCUUUAACUCUGUUGUACCUGCUGUUUCAGAAGUGUCUUGUUUUCAGAGAGCGUGUUUGACUUUUCGUGUUUCACUAACAUAGUAGAGAUGAGUAAUGAGGGACAGAGGGAGGUUUUGGACGCUUGUGAGUGGAAACUAGAAGACUGUUCAGAAAAGCAUAUUUCUGUAAGAUCAUGUGACACUGAAGACUGGAGUAAUGAUGCUAAAGAUUCAGUUUUGAUCACAGAGAUAAAAUACAUUUUACUAUUUAUUCACAUAGCAAACAGUUAAUUGUAAUAAUAUUUCACAAAGUUAACAUUUUUAUUUUUUUUGAUCAAAUAAAUGCAGCCUUGGUGAGCAGAAGAGACUUCCACAAACAUUAAGAAAUCAGCUCAAAUUGAGCUUACAUUUACAGCAUGAUGAAUGAACUGAAAGUAAAAUUGUAUCCUUUUAGACUUUUGAAUUAUUUUACUGGUCCAGAAGAAAAAAUUUAAU